UUAGGCCGGGAACUCAAAGGAGACUGCCAGUGAUAAACUGGAGGAAGGUGGGGAUGACGUCAAGUCAUCAUGGCCCUUACGACCAGGGCUACACACGUGCUACAAUGGCAUAUACAAAGAGAAGCGACCUCGCGAGAGCAAGCGGACCUCAUAAAGUAUGUCGUAGUCCGGAUUGGAGUCUGCAACUCGACUCCAUGAAGUCGGAAUCGCUAGUAAUCGUAGAUCAGAAUGCUACGGUGAAUACGUUCCCGGGCCUUGUACACACCGCCCGUCACACCAUGGGAGUGGGUUGCAAAAGAAGUAGGUAGCUUAACCUUCGGGAGGGCGCUUACCACUUUGUGAUUCAUGACUGGGGUGAAGUCGUAACAAGGUAACCGUAGGGGAACCUGCGGUUGGAUCACCUCCUUA
rnacentral:rRNA from 1 species